CAAAUGUCCAUCAACUGGUGAAUGUGAAAAUUAUGGUAUAUCCAUAAUAUGUAAUAUGGCCAUAAUAUGUAAUAAUGCAAUGUACUACUGACCAGUAAAUAUGAAUGGACUGAUGAUGAUACAGCCUGCAACAGGAUGAAUCUCAAAAUAAUCACAAUUACAACUGCUAUUUCUAUUCAAGCUGGUUGACUAACUCCCCACUCCCACCACUUCACAGAAUCCUAUUGAAAUAGCAGCAACUAAGAACAAAGGGGAACACAGUGUUACAAAUACUGCAGGGAUGGAGAGACAUGACUAGCAUACAGGAUAUUCACUUCACAAGCAGUUUUGGAAGAAAAGUCACAGAUGAGCUCAUUUUGCUUUAAAAACCACAGUGUUCUGUCUUGUUCAGCCACCUCUGGUUUAAACACUACCUUGGAAACCACGACUGUCAGUGAAGCUUCCCUAUGUAUGAGGCAAGCUUGUGAUGGAGGGGAACAAAGCAGGGAAGGUAUCUCUCAGAACUGGAUUUGGUGUAAUGUUGAUGUUUAAAAAUCCCUCUUCCCCUUCUAAUCUGUUAUGAUUACUUAGAAUUUCAGUAGCAACACUGAGAGAAAUAUACACUUUCCAUAGUGAAGUUUAUCCAAAGAGAUGUGAUGUAACUCUGAAUUUUGAGGUGGGCCCGAAAAUUCCAACAUACCGGGGUAUGUACUUUAUAUUAUUCCCUCCCCUAGAGUAUGGGUAGGACUGUGAAUAUAAUGGAUUUCAUGACUGUGAUUAUGUUUCAAAGGUGAAGGGAUUUUAAAAAUGUAAUUAAAAUCUGAAAUGAGAGGACUUUGAGUUAAUGAAAAGGGAGAUUAUCCUCACUGGGUCUGAUCUAACUAGGUGAGCUCUUAAAAGGAGUUGAGUCCUUCCUGAAGAGAGAGAUUUGAAGCAGCAGAGAUGAUUUUCUGUUGGCCUGUAAGAAACAAACUAUAGAAUUAUGGAGAAGACCCUGUGGCAAGGAAUAGCAGGCAGUCCUGUAACCUCAAGGAACUAAAUUCUACCAACUGCCAGGGAGCUGGGAAGAGGACUUGAGACUCAGAUAAGAUAAUAGCUCUGGCUGACACCUUGAUUUUAGCCCAGUCAGAUCCUGAAGUGAGGACCUAGUUAAUGUGUGUAGACUCCUGACUCAUGACAACUGAGAUCAUACAUUUUGUUAUGUUUUUCUAAACUGUUAGAUUAUAGUAAUUUGCUAUGCAGGUAUAGAAAAUUAACACAAGAAGUAGAAAACAUCAUACAGCAUUGCUAUUACA